CAGGACGAACGCUGGCGGCAUGCUUAACACAUGCAAGUCGAACGGACUGAUUCCUUCGGGAUGAAAGUUAGUGGCGAACGGGUGAGUAAUGUAUGAGCAACCUGCCUCUAUCAACGGGAUAACAGUUGGAAACGACUGCUAAUACGGUAUAAGACCACGGCACCGCAUGAUGCUGCGGUAAAAGAUUUUUCGGAUAGAGAUGGGCUCAUAUCCCAUUAGCUAGUUGGUGAGAUAACAGCCCACCAAGGCGACGAUGGGUAGCCGAGCUGAGAGGCUGAUCGGCCACAUUGGGACUGAAACACGGCCCAGACUCCUACGGGAGGCAGCAGUGGGGAAUAUUGGGCAAUGGAGGCAACUCUGACCCAAGCAAUGCCGCGUGAGUGAUGAAGGUAAUUUUAUUGUAAAGCUCUUUUCUCAGGAACGAAUAAAGAUGACGGUACCUGAGGAAUAAGCCCCGGCUAACUACGUGCCAGCCGCCGC
rnacentral:rRNA from 1 species